rnacentral:SRP_RNA from 1 species
GCCGGGGUCAGUGGCGCAUGCCUGUAGUCCCAGCUACUCGGGAGGCUGAGGUGGGAAGAUCACUUGAGCCCAGGAGUUCUGGGCUGUAGUGUGCUAUGCUGAUUGGGUGUCUGCACUAAGUUCGGCAUCAAUAUGGUGACCUCCCGGGAGCAGGGGACCACCAGGUUGCCUAAGGAGGGGUGAACCGGCCCAGGUUGGAAACGGAGCAGGUCAAAACUCCCGUACUGAUCAGUAGUGGGAUCAGCCUGUGAAUAGCCAGUGCACUCUAGCCUGGGCAACAUAGCAACACCCUCU